UACAGAGGUCUCAAGCGUUGUUCGGAUUCAUUGGGCGUAAAGGGUGCGUAGGUGGCGCUGUAAGUCGGGUGUGAAAUUUCGGAGCUUAACUCCGAAACUGCAUUCGAUACUGCGGUGCUUGAGGACUGGAGAGGAGACUGGAAUUCAUGGUGUAGCAGUGAAAUGCGUAGAGAUCAUGAGGAAGACCAGUGGCGAAGGCGGGUCUCUGGACAGUAACUGACACUGAGGCACGAAGGCCAGGGGAGCAAACGGG
rnacentral:rRNA from 1 species